AUUGAACGCUGGCGGCAAGCCUAACACAUGCACGUCGAACGAGUGGCGGACGGGUGAGUAAUGUCUGGGAAACUGCCUGAUGGAGGGGGAUAACUCCUGGAAACGGUAGCUAAUACCGCAUACCAUCGGAUGUGCCCAGAUGGGAUUCGCUAGUAGGUGGGGUAAAGGCUAACCUAGGCGACGAUCCCUAGUUGGUCUGCGAGGAUGACCAGCCACACUGUAAAUGAGCGACGGGCCAGACUCCUACGGGAGGCAGCAGUGGGGAAUAUUGCACAAUGGGCGCAAGCCUGAUGCAGCCAUGCCGCGUGUAUGAAGAAGGCCUUCGGGUUGUAAAGUACUUUCAGCGGGGAGGCGUUACCCGCAGAAGAAGCACCGGCUAACUCCGUGCCAGCCGCCGCGGUAAUUC
rnacentral:rRNA from 1 species